rnacentral:rRNA from 1 species
CGNNANUNNUNGGNCNUAAAACGUCCNGUAGCCGGUUUAUUAAAUGCCUAGGUAAAUUGNGUAGCUUAACUAUACGANUUCUGGGUAGACUGGUAAACUNGAGAUCGGGAGAAGUUAGAGGUACUCCUUGGGUAGAGGUGAAAUUCUGUAAUCCUAGGGGGACCACCAGUGGCGAAGGCGUCUAACUAGAACGAGUUUGACGGUGAGGGACGAAGCCCUGGGGCGCAAACGGGAUUAGAUACCCCGGUAGUCCAGGGUGUAAACGCUGCUUGCUUGAUGUUAGUCGGGCUCCGAGCCCGAUUAGUGUCGGAGAGAAGUUGUUAAGCAAGCUGCCUGGGAAGUACGGUCGCAAGACUGAAAUUUAAAGGAAUUGGCGGGGGAGCACCGCAACGGGAGUAGCGUGCGGUUUAAUUGGAUUCAACGCCG